rnacentral:lncRNA from 1 species
ACAAAAAGAAUAAUUCCAAUUUUUAAAAAGGGCCAAUGGAAAAUUGAUCAAGGAGACACAGGAAUGUGAACAUUAAAUACAAAUAAUAACAUAAUUUCAAAAAUAUUUUUAAGAACUGAAAGGAUUACAGGGAAAAUUUGGAAGAUUCACAAUCACCAUGGGAGGGUCUUUGUAGCACAGUUCUGUCAGGAAAUACAAUCAUAUAUUGCGUAACAAUAGGAAGAGGGAGGGAGAAAUGUGUCAUUAGGUGAUUCUGUCAUUGUUUGCUCAUCGUAGAGUAUACUGACUCAAACCUAGAUGGCAUAGUCUCCUGUAGGCCCAGGCUGUGUGGCAGAUCCUAUUGUUCCUAACCUACACACCUGUACAGCAUGUACAGGUACUAUAAGGGAUACUGUAAGCAACUGUAACACAAUGAUGCCUGCUCCAGCUGCCUCAUCUCCUCUUGUGUUCACAACAGACCUAGAAACCAGUGUCUCCCAGCAUGGUGACUUUCCAGAUGGGGAAACCGAGUCUUGGAGAAGUAUGAUGAACAUUCUAAGCCCUUCAACUGAUCAGACAAGGCCCACCCACAUCACGGUUCAUCCAAGUCUACUGGCUGUAAAUGUGCAUCACGCCUGCAGAUAC